rnacentral:rRNA from 1 species
GCUGUUAAGCAAGCCGUCAAGAAAAGCUGCUAUUGUUUCAUUAUGGCCCGUACCGUAAACCGACACAGGUGGAUGGGGAGAGAAUCCUAAGGCCGGCGGAAGAAGUAUUGUUAAGGAACUCGGCAAAAUGACCCCGUAACUUCGGGAGAAGGGGUGCCUGCGAGAGCAGGCCGCAGAGAAGAGGCCCAAGCAACUGUUUAGCAAAAACACAGGUCUAUGCAAAACCGAAAGGUGAGGUAUAUGGGCUGACGCCUGCCCGGUGCUGGAAGGUUAAGGGGAGUGGUCAGGGAACGAAGCCACGAACUUAAGCCCCAGUAAACGGCGGCCGUAACUAUAACGGUCCUAAGGUAGCGAAAUUCCUUGUCGGGUAAGUUCCGACCCGCACGAAAGGCGUAAUGAUUUGGGCGCUGUCUCGACAAUACAUCCGGUGAAAUUGAAGUGCCAGUGAAGAUGCUGGCUACCUGCGCCAGGACGGAAAGACCCCAUGGAGCUUUACUUCAGCUUGAUACUGGGACCCGGUAUUGCAUGUACAGGAUAGGUGGGAGGCUAGGAAAUGUGGACGCCAGUCUGCAUGGAGCCGCUGUUGGGAUACCACCCUUGUGGUGCUGGGUUUCUAACCAGAGGCCGUGAACCGGUCUGGGGACAAUGUCAGGUGGGGAGUUUGACUGGGGCGGUCGCCUCCGAAAGGGUAUCGGAGGCGCCCAAAGGUUCCCUCAGAAUGGUCGGAAACCAUUCGAAGAGUGCAAAGGCAGAAGGGAGCUUGACUGCGACACCGACGGGUGGAGCAGGUACGAAAGUAGGGCUUAGUGAUCCGGUGGAAUUUAAGUGGGAAUGCCAUCGCUCAACGGAUAAAAGCUACCCUGGGAUAACAGGCUGAUCACUCCCAAGAGUUCACAUCGACGGAGUGGUUUGGCACCUCGAUGUCGGCUCAUCGCAUCCUGGGGCUGAAGUCGGUCCCAAGGGUUGGGCUGUUCGCCCAUUAAAGCGGUACGCGAGCUGGGUUCAGAACGUCGUGAGACAGUUCGGUCCCUAUCCGGCGUGGGCGUAGGAUAUCUGAGAGGAGCUGUCCUUAGUACGAGAGGACCGGGAUGGACUGACCUCUGGUGUACCGGUUGGCGAUCAACGCCACGGCCGGGUAGCCAUGUCGGGACGGGAUAAACGCUGAAGGCAUCUAAGCGUGAAGCCCCCCUCAAGAUGAGAUAUCCCAUCGUAAGAGUAAGACCCCUUGAAGACGACGAGGUUGAUAGGGCAGGGGUGGAAGUGCCGUAAGGCAUGGAGCUGACUGCUACUAAUCGGUCGAGGGCUUGACCU